UGGCGCGUAGCUCAGGGGGAGAGCACUACCUUGACACGGUAGGGGUCGGCGGUUCAAUCCCGCCCGCGCCAACCA
rnacentral:tRNA from 1 species